CAGGGUAUAGCUGAGGUUGGUUUAGCAUACCGUUUGGGGCGGUAAGACGUAGGUUCGAAUCCUGCUAUCCUGACAA
rnacentral:tRNA from 1 species